AAAUUGUACACCUUUUAAAGUACAUUUCAGUAUAAUUUGCAGUUUAACCGACAUAAUUGAGGUGAAAAGUCAAGCAGGCUAUAAAAGUAAUUGUUCCACCGCGAACAGGUGCAUGUUACAUUGCGCGCAACUUAUGGCCGCGAUCAAUUAAUUAAAUAAAUAUACUCGUAAAACAGAUUAUGAUUGCCACCGCUCCCCGAGUGGGCCCAAAGUGGAAUAAUUUGUUUAAAGUUCAGAUAGUUGACCUUUGUUGUGUGUGUGCGCCGAGCAAACAUAUACACAUAACUACAUAAUGUAUUGGUGUGCGUGUGUGAACUUGUACAGGUUAAGUUGCGCGUGCGCUCCCAGAUGGUGAAACAAAGGGCCUCAUUAAACUUGAACUCGCUUAAAUUAUCCACUUAAGCUUAAAUAAAGCGCCUUUCGCCGACUGUCAAUAAAUAUUAAAUUACAGCGUCCAUUAAUUCUUGUGUUCAUUAAUUGAAUUAAUAAUCAAACAGGAAUGAAUAAAACAUUAAACAUACAUAAUUAGACGUGUGUGAAUGGAUACAUUAGCAAGCAUGUCCGUGUGUGUAAUUAUUACAUGUUAGGGGAAAGUGGGGUAAACGCGAACGCGGGGUAAACCCGAACCCAAUAGUUUUAAUAUGUUAGAAAGAUAUAGCCGUAUAUCACUCGCCGGUAACUCAAAGAUCACGCCACCACCAGUGCCAGUCAACGACACGGGAGACGCGGACGCACGUACUUUUCAAGAUGCCCCGUAAUUAUAAAAGAAAAACUGAAACUAAAUACAGUUUAGAGGAUCUCAAAAAGGCUAUAGUCGAUGUUCAAACCAAGAAACUCAGCAUUGGCAGAGCAGCAAAUACUUGUGUUCCAAAAACUACAAUUUAACUUAGUAAUGUUAGUACGUGAUUACCCCACUUGGUGUUCGGCUUUACCCGACAUCAGUUGGGUAAAACCGAACACUAAGGGUUUUGUUUUUCGGUCAUUUUGUUAUAUUUUAUUUAAAAAAAUAAUGAUGUUGAUUAGUAAUACGUUAGCUAGAUAAGUAAAGUUUAUAAUUCAAUAAUUAAAGAAACUCUGUGAUUUGA